rnacentral:rRNA from 1 species
GGUAGUCCUAGCCCUAAACGAUCAGGACUUGGGGUGCUUCACGUUCGUGGAGCGUCCCGGAGCUAACGCGUUAAGUCCUGCACCUGGGGAGUACGGUCGCAAGACUGAAACUCAAAGGAAUUGACGGGGGCCCGCACAAGCGGUGGAACAUGUGGUUCAAUUCGACGCUACGCGAGGAACCUUACCUGGGCUCGAAGCGCACUUGACUAGCUAUAGAAAUAUGGCCUUCCCGCAAGGGACAAGUGUGGAGGCGCUGCAUGGCUGUCGUCAGCUCGUGCCGUGAGGUGUUGGGUUAAG